AGCUCCAAUAGCGUAUAUUAAAGUUGUUGCAGUUAAAAAGCUCGUAGUUGGAUUUCUGGUAGGAGGUUAGGGCGCACUGUCGUGAGGCCCGCGUCUUCUGCCAUCCUUCUGUUAACCCUUCAUGGCAUUGAUUUGUCGGUUGGGGGCUCAGAUAUUUUACCUUGAGAAAAUUAGAGUGUUUCAGGCAGGCCUGUGCCCGGAUACAUUAGCAUGGAAUAAUGGAAUAGGACUUUAGCCACUUCUGUUGGUCUGAGGGGUUGAAGUAAUGAUUAAUAGGGAUAGUUGGGGGCAUUAGUACUUAACUGUCAGAGGUGAAAUUCUCGGAUUUGUUAAAGACUAACUUAUGCGAAAGCAUUUGCCAAGGAUGUUUUCA
rnacentral:rRNA from 1 species